rnacentral:piRNA from 1 species
UGCAAUCGGAGGAUUACCCCA